rnacentral:rRNA from 1 species
AACGAACGCUGGCGGCAUGCCUAACACAUGCAAGUCGAACGAGACCUUCCGGCUUAGUUGCGCACGGGUGCGUAAGGCGUGGUAACUUGCACUUAGGUUCGGUAUACCUCCCCGUAAGGGGUGCUCAUACCGGAUAAUCUCUUCGCACCAACGAUUUAUCGCUUUGGAUGGGCCCGCGUUGGAUUAGCUAGUUGGUAGGGUAAAAGCCUACCAAGGCGCCGAUGCAUGGCUGGGCUGCGUGGAUGAUCAGCCACACUGGGACUGAGACACGGCCCAGACUGCGACGGGAGGCAGCAGUAGGGAAUAUUGGAGAAUGGACCAAAGCCUGAUCCAGCAGUGCCGGGUGAGUGAGGAAGGCCUUUGGGUUGUAAAGCUCUUUUAGCCGGGAUGAUAAUGACAGUACCGGGAGAAGAAGCUCCGGCUAACUCCGUG